rnacentral:rRNA from 1 species
GGUUCGAUCAUGGCUCAGAUUGAACGCUGGCGGAUGCUUUACACAUGCAAGUCGAACGGCAGCACGGACUUCGGUCUGCGGCGAGUGGCGAACGGGUGAGUAAUGUAUCGAACGUGCCUAGUGGGGAUAACUACGCGAAAGCGUAGUGCCAACACCGCACAUUGCCCUUCGGGGAAAGCGGGGACCGGGCCCGCACUAUUAGAGCGGCUGAUAUCGGAUUAGCUAGUUGGUGGGGUAACGGCUCACCAAGGCGACGAUCCGUAGCUGGUUUGAGGACGACCAGCCACACUGGGACUGGAGACACGGCCCAGACUCCUACGUGUGGGAGGCAGCAGGGGAAUUUUGGACAAUGGGGGAAACCCCGAUCCAGCCAUCCCGCGUGUGCGAUGAAGGCCUUCUUGGAAGUUAAAGCACUUUGGCAGGGAGAAGAAACGGCACGGGAUAAUACCUCGUGCAACUGACGGUACCUGCAGAAUAAGCACCGGCUAACUACGUGCCAGCAGCCGCGGUAAUACGUAGGGUGCAAGUUGACCGAAUUACUGGCGUAAGCGUGCAGGCGGUUCGGAAAGAAAGAUGUGAAAUCCCAGAGCUUAACUUUGGAACUGCAUUUUUAACUACCGAGCUAGAGUGUGUCAGAGGGAGGUGGAAUUCCGCGGUGUAGCAGUGAAAUGCGUAGAUAUGUGGAGGAACACCGAUGGCGAAGGCAGCCUCCUGGGGAUAACAUCACGACGCUCAUGCACGAAAGCGUGGGAGCAAACAGGAUUAGAUACCCUGCAGUCCACGUGGCCUCAAACGAUGUCAACUAGCUGUUGGGGCCUGGCCUGGUAGCGUGAAGCAUCGCGUGAAGUUGACCGCCUGGGAGUACGGUCGCAAGAUUAAAACUCAAAGGAAUUGACGGGGACCGUGCACAAGCGGUGGAUGAGGGGAUUAAUCUGAUGCAACGCGAAAAACCUUACCUACCCUUGACAUGUCUGAAUCCCGAAGAGAUUUGGGAGUGCUCGCAAGAGAACCGGAACACAGGUGCUGCAUGAAGUUGUCGUCAGCUCGUGUCGUGAGAUGUUGUUAAGUCCCGCAACGAGCGCAACCGGGCGGCGGGCGGAGCAUGAAAGGGCACUCUAGUCGAGACUGCCGGUGACAAACCGAGGAAGGUGGGGAUGACGUCAAGUCCUCAUGGCCCUUAUGGGGGCUUCACAUCGGUCAUACAAUGGUCGGGACAGAGGGUCGCUAACCCGCGAGGGGGAGCCAAUCCCAGAAACCCGAUCGUCCGGAUCGCAGUCUGCAACUCGACUGCGUGAAGUCGGAAUCUAGCAAUCGUGAUCGCGCAUUGUCGCGGUGAAUACGUUCCCGGGUCUUGUACACACCGCCCGUCACACCAUGGGAGGUUCACCAGAAGUAGUUAGCCUAACCGUAAGGAGGGUAUGAUUACCACGGUAGAUUCAUGAUCAGUGGUUUGUAAUGCGUAGU